UACGGAGGGUGCGAGCGUUGUCCGGAAUUAUUGGGCGUAAAGAGCUCGUAGGCGGUUUGUCGCGUCGAAUGUGAAAACCCGGGGCUCAACCCCGGGCCUGCAUUCGAUACGGGCAGACUAGAGUUCGGUAGGGGAGUCUGGAAUUCCUGGUGUAGCGGUGAAAUGCGCAGAUAUCAGGAGGAACACCGGUGGCGAAGGCGGGACUCUGGGCCGAUACUGACGCUGAGGAGCGAAAGCGUGGGGAGCGAACAGG
rnacentral:rRNA from 1 species